AAGCAUAUCAAUAAGCGGAGGAAAAGAAACCAACAGGGAUUGCCCUAGUAACGGCGAGUGAAGCGGCAACAGCUCAAAUUUGAAAUCUGGCUUCGGCCCGAGUUGUAAUUUGCAGAGGAAGCUUUAGGCGCGGCACCUUCUGAGUCCCCUGGAACGGGGCGCCAUAGAGGGUGAGAGCCCCGUAUAGUUGGAUGCCUAGCCUGUGUAAAGCUCCUUCGACGAGUCGAGUAGUUUGGGAAUGCUGCUCAAAAUGGGAGGUAAAUUUCUUCUAAAGCUAAAUACCGGCCAGAGACCGAUAGCGCACAAGUAGAGUGAUCGAAAGAUGAAAAGCACUUUGAAAAGAGGGUUAAAUAGCACGUGAAAUUGUUGAAAGGGAAGCGCUUGUGACCAGACUUGCGCCGGGCUGAUCAUCCGGUGUUCUCACCGGUGCACUCUGCCCGGCUCAGGCCAGCAUCGGUUCUCGCGGGGGGAUAAAGGCCCGGGGAAUGUAGCUCCUCCGGGAGUGUUAUAGCCCCGGGUGUAAUACCCUCGCGGGGACCGAGGUUCGCGCAUCUGCAAGGAUGCUGGCGUAAUGGUCAUCAGCGACCCGUCUUGAAACACGGACCAAGGAGUCAAGGUUUUGCGCGAGUGUUUGGGUGUAAAACCCGCACGCGUAAUGAAAGUGAACGUAGGUGAGAGCUUCGGCGCAUCAUCGACCGAUCCUGAUGUUUUCGGAUGGAUUUGAGUAGGAGCGUUAAGCCUUGGACCCGAAAGAUGGUGAACUAUGCUUGGAUAGGGUGAAGCCAGAGGAAACUCUGGUGGAGGCUCGCAGCGGUUCUGACGUGCAAAUCGAUCGUCAAAUCUGAGCAUGGGGGCGAAAGACUAAUCGAACCAUCUAGUAGCUGGUUACCGCCGAAGUUUCCCUCAGGAUAGCAGUGUUGUCUUCAGUUUUAUGAGGUAAAGCGAAUGAUUAGGGACUCGGGGGCGCUUUUUAGCCUUCAUCCAUUCUCAAACUUUAAAUAUGUAAGAAGCCCUUGUUACUUAGUUGAACGUGGGCCUUCGAAUGUAUCAACACUAGUGGGCCAUUUUUGGUAAGCAGAACUGGCGAUGCGGGAUGAACCGAACGCGGGGUUAAGGUGCCGGAGUGGACGCUCAUCAGACACCACAAAAGGCGUUAGUACAUCUUGACAGCAGGACGGUGGCCAUGGAAGUCGGAAUCCGCUAAGGACUGUGUAACAACUCACCUGCCGAAUGUACUAGCCCUGAAAAUGGAUGGCGCUCAAGCGUCCCACCCAUACCCCGCCCUCAGGGUAGAAACGAUGCCCUGAGGAGUAGGCGGCCGUGGAGGUCAGUGACGAAGCCUAGGGCGUGAGCCCGGGUCGAACGGCCUCUAGUG
rnacentral:rRNA from 1 species